rnacentral:rRNA from 1 species
GACGAACGCUGGCGGCGUGCUUAACACAUGCAAGUCGAACGGUAAGGCCCUUCGGGGUACACGAGUGGCGAACGGGUGAGUAACACGUGGGUGAUCUGCCCUGCACUUCGGGAUAAGCCUGGGAAACUGGGUCUAAUACCGGAUAGGACUCCGGACUGCAUGGUCUGGGGUGGAAAGCUUUUGCGGUGUGGGAUGGGCCCGCGGCCUAUCAGCUUGUUGGUGGGGUGAUGGCCUACCAAGGCGACGACGGGUAGCCGGCCUGAGAGGGUGACCGGCCACACUGGGACUGAGAUACGGCCCAGACUCCUACGGGAGGCAGCAGUGGGGAAUAUUGCACAAUGGGCGCAAGCCUGAUGCAGCGACGCCGCGUGAGGGAUGACGGCCUUCGGGUUGUAAACCUCUUUCAGCGUCGACGAAGCGAAAGUGACGGUAGGUGCAGAAGAAGGACCGACCAACUACGUGCCAGCCGCCGCAGUAA